GACGAACGCUGGCGGCGUGCCUAAUACAUGCAAGUUGAGCGCUGAAGGUUGGUACUUGUACCGACUGGAUGAGCAGCGAACGGGUGAGUAACGCGUGGGGAAUCUGCCUUUGAGCGGGGGACAACAUUUGGAAACGAAUGCUAAUACCGCAUAAAAACUUUAAACACAAGUUUUAAGUUUGAAAGAUGCAAUUGCAUCACACAAAGAUGAUCCCGCGUUGUAUUAGCUAGUUGGUGAGGUAAAGGCUCACCAAGGCGAUGAUACAUAGCCGACCUGAGAGGGUGAUCGGCCACAUUGGGACUGAGACACGGCCCAAACUCCUACGGGAGGCAGCAGUAGGGAAUCUUCGGCAAUGGACGAAAGUCUGACCGAGCAACGCCGCGUGAGUGAAGAAGGUUUUCGGAUCGUAAAACUCUGUUGGUAGAGAAGAACGUUGGUGAGGGUGGAAAGCUCAUCAAGUGACGGUAACUACCCAGAAAGGGACGGCUAACUACGUG
rnacentral:rRNA from 1 species